UCCUUGGCAGCUCAGUGGUAAAGAAUCUGCCUGUGAUGCAGGAGACCCAGGUUCGAUUCCUGGGUUGGGAA
rnacentral:tRNA from 1 species